CCUACGGGAGGCAGCAGUGAGGAAUAUUGGUCAAUGGACGAGAGUCUGAACCAGCCAAGUAGCGUGAAUGAUGACUGCCCUAUGGGUUGUAAACUUCUUUUAUAAAGGAAUAAAACGAGGCACGUGUGCCUUUUUGCAUGUACUUUAUGAAUAAGGAUCGGCUAACUCCGUGCCAGCAGCCGCGGUAAUACGGAGGUUCCGAGCGUUAUCCGGAUUUAUUGGGUUUAAAGGGAGCGUAGAUGGGUUGUUAAGUCAGUUGUGAAAGUUUGCGGCUCAACCGUAAAAUUGCAAUUGAUACUGGCGGUCUUGAGUACAGUUGAGGUAGGCGGAAUUCGUGGUGUAGCGGUGAAAUGCUUAGAUAUCACGAAGAACCCCGAUUGCGAAGGCAGCUUACUAAACUGUGACUGACAUUGAUGCUCGAAAGUGUGGGUAUCAAACAGGAUUAGAUACCCCUGUAGUC
rnacentral:rRNA from 1 species